AUGAACAUGUGAACUUGCAAUCAAUACAUUUUGAUCACAAGUAAAAUUGUAUUGCUACAUAAACACACAAUAGAUUGUGAGAUGAUUUUUGCUGGAAACAAUAAUGUGUUUCAUAAUUUUGUUUUAAAGUUUACUGUGACAAACUCUCUGACACCAAAAUAUGAUCAAAGUUUAUUUUAACUUAUUAUUACAAAAUCCACUAUGUACCCAAUAAUUAUUUAUUACCACUAAGAAAUCACCUGUAUUUUAACACUGAUCAACAGAUACAUUUGUUUGAAAUAAUAGUAGCAGUAAUGAGCCAGACCCAAAAAAACCUUCAUUCAACAUAAAGCUGCUCUUUUGUCUUGAAGUAUCAGAAGAGGAGGAACUCCAGAUCUGACAUGAUCUAAUCGUGUCUGAAAGAGACUGUGGAUGAAACGAUUCAGUCUGACUCUUCUCAGAGUGAACACUUGAACAAUGAAUCUUCAUUCACUUAUUCUGCUCUGUGUCUCAACCGUUGCUGUAUUUGGAAAUGUCAUCAAACCAGAUGAAACAAAUGUAGUUGCUGAGAAGGGUUCAAGUGUUACAUUAUCCUGUAGUUAUUCCUCUACAACUUCAGAUCCUCUCUUCUGGUACCGUCAGUAUGGAAGAUCAAAACCUGAAUUUCUUGUUUCCACCUACAGUACUGCAACAGAUCCUGAAGAAUCUAAAGUAGAUCCAAGAUUCUCUGUUAAAGUUGAAAAAAAGGAACAAAUCCACAUGGAUCUGAUCAUCUCCUCUGCUGCAGUAUCAGACUCUGCUCUGUAUUACUGUGCUCUGAGGCCCACAGUCACAGGAAACACAAGAACACUGUACAAAAACCUGCUAGACAAGAGAGAGAUGAGAGAACAUUUCUUGAGAAAGAAACUAGUAUACAAAUAAUUACAUAAUCUAAUGCAAAAAUGAUAAAACAUAAAACAAAGCAAUUUUCUAAAAAUGAGUCAUAUUUUUAAAAAUUUGUUAGACAAUGAGAUGGCGCUGUUUCAGUUGUGCAAUACUUGCAGUUAACCACAAGAGGGCAGUAGUUACUCAAUAUUACAGCAGCUGUUCAUAUCAAUUGUUUACAUUUUAUAUCAGAUUUUACAUUAAAUAUUCUUAAACCUUCACAGAGUGCAGAUCAGAGGACACAGUUGAUCAGACAAACAUGUGACUGAUAUUAUGUUCCAUGUAAUUCCUUUUAUGCAUAAAUAGUCUCUUAAAUAAUUAAAUCAUUUUCAUCAUUAUUAUUUUAGUGUGGGAAAACAUUAAAAAUGCAGGCAUACAAUUAAUUUUAUUUUAACCAUAAACCAUUAUCCACCACAACAAAGAUAGAAAUAAACACUUUGAGCCGAAUGAGAGGGAGGAGUCAAAGAAACCUCGUCAAGCAGACACUAGUGUAGAUCAAGUGCUCUUGCUCAGUACAGUAUUUACAGUCAUUGUAUCACAGACUAGAUCAGGGUGAGAAUAAGAUCUGGAUUUAGACGAGACUUCAUUAAAAUCAG